AACGAACGCUGGCGGCGCGCCUAAUACAUGCAAGUCGAGCGAGAAGACGUAGCAAUACGUUUGUAAAGCGGCGAACGGGUGAGGAAUACAUGGGUAACCUACCCUCGAGUGGGGAAUAACUAGCCGAAAGGUUAGCUAAUACCGCGUACGCUCCUUGGACUUCGGUUCAGGGAGGAAAGCGAUACCGUGGGUAUCGCGCUCUUGGAUGGGCUCAUGUCCUAUCAGCUUGUUGGUGGGGAACGGCUCACCAAGGCUUCGACGGGUAGCUGGUCUGAGAGGACAAUCAGCCACACUGGCACUGCGACACGGGCCAGACUCCUACGGGAGCAGCAGUAAGG
rnacentral:rRNA from 1 species